GACGAACGCUGGCGGCGUGCUUAACACAUGCAAGUCGAACGGCGUGGCGAACGGGUGAGUAACACGUGGGUGACCUGCCCUGCACUUCGGGAUAAGCCCGGGAAAAUGGGUCUAAUACCGGAUAGUGUGGGAUGGGGCCGCGGGCUAUCAGCUUGUUGGUGGGGUAAUGGCCUACCAAGGCGGCGACGGGUAGCCGGCCUGAGCGGGUGGACGGCCACAUUGGGACUGAGACACGGCCCAGACUCCUACGGGGGGCAGCAGGGGGGAAUAUUGCACAAGGGGCGGAAGCCUGAUGCAGCGACGCCGCGUGGGGGAUGACGGUCUUCGGGUUGUAAACUCCUUUCACCAGCGACGCGGUAGAUGGAGAAGAAGCACCGGCUAACUACGUGCCAGCCGCCGCGGUAAUUC
rnacentral:rRNA from 1 species